rnacentral:rRNA from 1 species
AUAUUGGACAAUGGGGGGAACCCUGAUCCAGCCAUGCCGCGUGUAUGAUGAAGGUCUUAGGAUUGUAAAAUACUUUCACCGGUGAAGAUAAUGACUGUAGCCGGAGAAGAAGCCCCGGCUAACUUCGUGCCAGCAGCCGCGGUAAUACGAAGGGGGCUAGCGUUGCUCGGAAUUACUGGGCGUAAAGGGAGCGUAGGCGGACAUUUAAGUCAGAGGUGAAAUCCCGGAGCUUAACUUCGGAACUGCCUUUGAUACUGGAUGUCUUGAGUGUGAGAGAGGUAUGUGGAACUCCGAGUGUAGAGGUGAAAUUCGUAGAUAUUCGGAAGAACACCAGUGGCGAAGGCGACAUACUGGCUCAUUACUGACGCUGAGGCUCGAAAGCGUGGGGAGCAAACAGG